CGCUCAGUAAAUUUACACAGACAUUACAUUUCGUUCUGUUGUUUUUAGACAUAAUGCUAAGCUGUUUUUUUUAUAGCUCACUGAUCGAUAUCUUAGUAAAAUAAUAUUUUUUUGUUAAACUAGCGGGGCACUGAAAUCUUUGCUUUGUGCUAAAGUCAACAGUGGCAGAGUUUGAGCUCAAAUAAAUGCCGUGAUGUCUGCAGCCCUUUGCAGUAGCUGAAGGCGAGGUUCCACAAUGGGCUCCGGUAGCUUGCCAGUAAGCAUCGACUGUAUUGCACAGGUCUCUGCUGGGGAGGGCUCCAUGGCUGUGGCGUCGGAGAGGUGCCUUCGGAGAGAGGAUGGAUAGGGAGGAGAGGAGGCCUCAAUGUAAGGAGGGAUAACGAGUAGAGGAGGCCAUAAUGAUACAUAGAAGGAGAGUACUGGUUCGGACAGAAGAAGCAGAUGGAUCUGACUGCCACACACAUUGUCCCUUCAGUCGUGGGCUGUGCUGUGACUGUCCCAUGGCACCCGCCAGAUGGAGACGGCCUAACUUGACUUAUGUGUGGAAUGGGACCAAUGGGAUCAAUGCAGUCCUGCCUACGACCUUCUCCCCGCAUCACCACAGAACCACAGACACAUAAAGGCACUUUCCUCUCUGAGUGCAUGUCUACCUGGCUAUGUCUGCUUCUGACCUGUCUGCAUCUAUGAAAUAUCAAAGCUUGUGUCAGGCAUCGCUGAAUAGGGACAAAAAAGAAGCACCAUUAAUGAUUAACUGUUCUAAAAGUCCUGGCUUUUUUAUUCCCAUGGUUCCCGGGUUAUCUUGCGGCCAUGUGACUUGCUCGCAGUGUUUUUCAAGCAGAUUGGGGGAAAGCUAGUGAGCAAACACAGGUGCUUUGGACUGGAGUCGCAGACGCUGUCAGGGACAACCACAAACAAGAGCAGCAAUGCCUGGCUAAAUGAGAGCCCAUCCCCUUACUUACUCCCUGGCUAGCUUAGCUUUGUCACGGACCGCAGUGGCUGGAGAUACUCACCACAGCCCAAGUCCAAUGUCCUCCUAGUGUUCCACAACUUUUCCCACUCUCCAAAGAAACAAACAAAUAAAAUGUGAGGGUUGAAGCCCACUUGGCAUUCGCUCUGGUCUCGAGUAUAGAGGGAGAGCAAACAAAUGAAUGGUGUUCCAUUUCUCCCUUUCUAAAACAAACCAAAUGGGGUUUUCCUAAAGUGGGGCAAUUCCAGUGACCCUGGUGUCAAACAGGGUUCAACACUCUGGCACUUGAGAAGCGUAGUGGGAAAUGAGAGAGAGAUAUUCAGAAAGGUGCUAUGGGUUCUCAGAAAUAUGCAGGAAGACAAUCUGAUUCUCAGAAAAUGGAGUGGUUGAUUUGAUUGUUUCAUGAAUGUUUCAUGACAGGAAGAUGACGAAUAAAUCAUGAAUACAUAAAAGCAUAUUUUCUGUCAACAAAGUAUACUUUUUCGUUGUUCUGAUUUGAUUGAGUUCUGAAAAUGUUCUUGAGUUGUUUUCAAGGUUCUAUAAACACAGUCUGGGCACUUAACCCUUUUCUUGUCAAUAACGUCUGUCCCUUUGUAAAACGACUGAGAGCGUUCUGUAGCACAACUUUGAUAACACAAUCAUAUGAUAUGUUGGCGCUAUCUGAACACGGCUUUCCGGCAGCGAGAUAAAUGAACAGCAUGAUAACGUGAACAAAAGUGUGGUUCUGAUUGGUUGGUCUAUGAAUAGAAAAAAUGCAGCAUGGAAAGUCUCCACAAUAAGGGCAAUUCAUUAGAUUUGUAAUUUUCUACAAUCUACAUGACCAGGGUCAGACAGACAGCUUUUGUUUCAGUCAAAUAUUUAUUUGUGUGUUAGCAAGUCUUUCAGUUCAUACCCUGCAAUUACAGUGAGCUUGUAAAGCUGAGAUGAUAAAAGUGUUUAAAAACAAACACUCCAAAUCAACAGGAGAGGAAAUGAAGCUGGAGAGAGAUAGAGGAGGGGGGGG